rnacentral:rRNA from 1 species
GACGGACCGUACAAACAUUAUUCGGAAUUACUGGGCUUAAAGGGGGCGUAGGCGGCGCAGAAAGUUGGGUGUGAAAUCCCUCGGCUCAACCGAGGAACUGCGCUCAAUACUGCUGUGCUUGAGGGAGACAGAGGUGAGCGGAACUUAGGGUGGAGCGGUGAAAUGCGUUGAUAUCCUAAGGAACACCGGUGGCGAAAGCGGCUCACUGGGUCUCUUCUGACGCUGAGGCACUAAAGCUAGGGUAGCGAACGGG